rnacentral:lncRNA from 1 species
AGGAGAAUCACUUGAACCUGGGAGGAGACGGAGGUUGAAGUGAGCUGAGACCAUACCACUGCACUCCAGCCUGGGAGAAAGAGCAAAACUCCGUCUCAAAAAAAAAAAAAAAAAAAAAAAAAGUUAUCCCUCCCCACUUCACGUGCCACCUGUAUCCCAGGUAGUUCUGCACGAUGUGGAGGUACGCCUGCUUGUCUUCUCCGCCUGUCUGCCUCCUCUUCUCGGCUGUACUCCAGGUCCUUGACCUACCUGACAGCUUCUUUUGUCUUUCUUCACUGAGCGUUUUCAAGUCCAAGCUUCAGUUCGUCAAUUACAAGUCUGAACUUUCCCAAAGACCCAGCAGAACAUGAGACCCACACAUGGCACAAAGCCUGGUGGGCUGUGCUCCUGCCUGUGAACCUGGUUCCUGUUCCUUCACAGGUCCAAGUGGGUUCCCCGGGGUGACUACAUUGCCUCCAACACAGACGAAUGCACAGCCACGCUGAUGUAUACCGUCAACCUGAAGCAGUCGGGCACCGUUAACUUCGAAUACUACUACCCGGACUCCAGCAUCAUCUUUGAGUUUUUCGUUCAGAAUGACCAGUGCCAGCCCAAUGCAGAUGACUCCAGGUGGAUGAAGACCACAGAGAAAGGAUGGGAAUUCCACAGUGUGGAGCUAAAUCGAGGCAAUAAUGUCCUCUAUUGGAGAACCACAGCCUUCUCAGUAUGGUCCAAAGUGUCCAAGCCUGUGCUCGUGAGAAACAUCGCCAUAACAGGUGUGGCCUACACUUCAGAAUGCUUCCCCUGCAAACCCGGCACGUAUGCGGACAAGCAGGGCUCCUCUUUCUGCAAACUUUGCCCGGCCAACUCUUACUCAAAUAAAGGAGAAACUUCUUGCCACCAGUGUGACCCUGACAAAUACUCAGGUGAUGUUCCUGAGGGUAGGAAGAGUUUGGGGAUCGAGGGUAU